rnacentral:rRNA from 1 species
UCGAGAAUCUUUCACAAUGGGGGCAACCCUGAUGGAGCGACGCCGCGUGGAGGAUAAGGUCUUCGGAUUGUAAACUCCUGUCAUGCGUGAACAAGAUUGCAGGGUUAAUAACCCGAGCAAGUUGAUGGUAACGCAAGAGGAAGAGACGGCUAACUCUGUGCCAGCAGCCGCGGUAAUACAGAGGUCUCAAGCGUUGUUCGGAAUCACUGGGCGUAAAGGGUGCGUAGGUGGCGUGGUAAGUCAGAUGUGA